AAGACCUUGCGCUUUUGGAGCGGCCGAUGUCUGAUUAGCUAGUUGGUGGGGUAAUGGCCUACCAAAGCUUCGAUCAGUAGCUGGUCUGAGAGGACGACCAGCCACACUGGGACUGAGACACGGCCCAGACUCCUACGGGAGGCAGCAGUGGGGAAUUUUGGACAAUGGGCGCAAGCCUGAUCCAGCCAUGCCGCGUGAGUGAAGAAGGCCUUCGGGUUGUAAAGCUCUUUCAGCCGGGAAGAAAAGGUUGCGACUAAUAAUCGCAAUCCAUGACGGUACCGAAAGAAGAAGCACCGGCUAACUACGUGCCAGCAGCCGCGGUAAUACGUAGGGUGCGAGCGUUAAUCGGAAUUACUGGGCGUAAAGGGUGCGCAGGCGGUUUUGUAAGUCAGAUGUGAAAUCCCCGGGCUUAACCUGGGAACU
rnacentral:rRNA from 1 species